CAGCAACCUUUGGGCAGUAAACAGGGGAGGGAAAUUAACCAAAAACAAAGCGAGUAUCAUUAGUCAAGGCUACGUCAUUUGGAAAGAACAUGGAAAAAGGAAUUUAGUUGGGGCAUGAAAAUAGAUUUCAUACCAGCAUAAGGAAGGCAGGGGAAUGGCGGACUCGGCAAGCGGGGUCACCGAGGAGGUCGGUGAAGAUGGAGACUGCGCCACUCUGACUAACCUCGCACGACCUCUCCACUGCCUCAGCUCCGGCGAGAGGCGAUCAAGUGCAGAUAAGCGAGGGAACUACAGUGAGUAUUCGUACUGGUUAUUGAAUGAGUUUUGAAGCGUAAGAACACUAGCAUCAAUACAAGUUGGUUCCUUUCUACUUGUUUCCUCUCUUCUCUGUUUUCUUUGAAGAUUUUGUUACUUCUCUCACUGGUUUUAGCUCACUCGACCUUCCUUCACUUCGAUUUUCUUAAUAGAGUGAGGAGCACAUGGUUGGCUAGGCUUCCUCAAAGGGGAUAUUUAUACCCGUUUCAUUAGGUGUUCAGUUGCCUCUCACUCUCUCUGGAAUCCUCUGAUCUAUUUAUUAUUCUCUCUCUAAGAGUCAAGGAUGAUAUCUAUGUACUUGCCAUGUGAUCCAGUGUUGAUAUGGACGGCCUCAAAAGAAAAAGCGUCGCAGUAUAUACGUUUCGUGUAUUUUUUAUGUAUAAAUACACUAUCAUUUUUUUUU